rnacentral:rRNA from 1 species
GAGUAACGCGUGGGUAACCUGCCUCACACAGGGGGAUAACAGUUGGAAACGACUGUUAAUACCGCAUAAGCGCACAGUACCGCAUGGUACAGUGUGAAAAACUCCGGUGGUGUGAGAUGGACCCGCGUCUGAUUAGCUAGUUCGGUGAGGUAACGGCCCACCAAGGCGACGAUCAGUAGCCGGCCUGAGAGGGUGUACGGCCACAUUGGGACUGAGACACGGCCCAAACUCCUACGGGAGGCAGCAGUGGGGAAUAUUGCACAAUGGGGGGAAACCCUGAUGCAGCGACGCCCGCGUGAGUGAUGAAGUAUCUCGGUAUGUAAAGCUCUAUCAGCAGGGAAGAUAAUGACGGUACCUGACUAAGAAGCACCGGCUAAAUACGUGCCAGCCGCGGC